rnacentral:rRNA from 1 species
UACGAAGGGGGCUAGCGUUGCUCGGAAUCACUGGGCGUAAAGGGUGCGUAGGCGGGUCUUUAAGUCAGGGGUGAAAUCCUGGAGCUCAACUCCAGAACUGCCUUUGAUACUGAGGAUCUUGAGUUCGGGAGAGGUGAGUGGAACUGCGAGUGUAGAGGUGAAAUUCGUAGAUAUUCGCAAGAACACCAGUGGCGAAGGCGGCUCACUGGCCCAUAACUGACGCUGAGGCACGAAAGCGUGGGGAGCAAACAGGG